rnacentral:rRNA from 1 species
GAUGAACGCUGGCGGCGUGCCUAAUACAUGCAAGUCGAGCGAACAGACGAGGAGCUUGCUCCUCUGACGUUAGCGGCGGACGGGUGAGUAACACGUGGAUAACCUACCUAUAAGACUGGGAUAACUUCGGGAAACCGGAGCUAAUACCGGAUAAUAUAUUGAACCGCAUGGUUCAAUAGUGAAAGACGGUUUUGCUGUCACUUAUAGAUGGAUCCGCGCCGCAUUAGCUAGUUGGUAAGGUAACGGCUUACCAAGGCAACGAUGCGUAGCCGACCUGAGAGGGUGAUCGGCCACACUGGAACUGAGACACGGUCCAGACUCCUACGGGAGGCAGCAAUAGGGAAUCUUCCGCAAUGGGCGAAAGCCUGACGGAGCAACGCCGCGUGAGUGAUGAAGGUCUUCGGAUCGUAAAACUCUGUUAUUGGGGAAGAACAAAUGUGUAAGUAACUAUGCACGUCUUGACGGUACCUAAUCAGAAAGCCACGGCUAACUACGUG